rnacentral:lncRNA from 1 species
CGCAUCCUUGACCGCUGGCUACGUCCCUUCCGUCUUCAAGAGAGCGAGAGUUGCACCCCUUCUGAAAAAAACCUACACUCGAUCCCUCCGAUGUCAACAACUACAGACCUAUCUGCUGCCUUUGAUACCGUGAACCAUCAGAUCCUCCUCUCCACCCUCUCCGAGCUGGGCAUCUCCGGCACCGCGCACGCUUGGAUUGCGUCCUACCUGACAGGUCGCUCCUACCAGGUGGCGAAUCGCAUCUCUGCAUGUCUGGCAGACAUAUCAGUGUGGAUGACGGAUCACCACCUCAAGCUGAACCUCGGCAAGACGGAGCUGCUCUUCCUCCCGGGGAAGGACUGCCCGUUCCAUGAUCUCGCCAUCACGGUUGACAACUCCCUUGUGUCCUCCUCCCAGAGUGCUAAGAGCCUUGGCGUGACCCUGGACAACACCCUGUCGUUCU